rnacentral:rRNA from 1 species
CCUACGGGAGGCAGCAGUGGGGAAUAUUGCACAAUGGGGGAAACCCUGAUGCAGCGACGCCGCGUGAGUGAAGAAGUAUCUCGGUACGUAAAGCUCUAUCAGCAGGGAAGAAAAUGACGGUACCUGACUAAGAAGCACCGGCUAACUACGUGCAAGCAGCCGCGGUAAUACGUAGGGGGCAAGCGUUAUCCGGAUUUACUGGGUGUAAGGGGAGCGUAGACGGCAGCACAAGUCUGGAGUGAAAUCCCGCGGCUUAACACCGGAACUGCUUUGGAAACUGUGCGGCUGGAGUGCAGGCGGGGUAAGCGGAAUGCGUAGUGUAGCGGUGAAAUGCAUAGAUAUUACGAGGAACACCGGUGGCGAAGGCGGCUUACUGGACUGUAACUGACGUUGAGGCUCGAAAGCGUGGGGAGCAAACAGGAUUAGAUACCCGAGUAGUC